ensembl:lncRNA
GAAGAUCUUGUGUCAUGUGGUAAAGCUUUCACAAUAUUCACAAUACAUAGAUAGGCCCUAGUACCCUUUACUGUGGGUUACAAUGACUAGGGCAUAUCACAUGAAUCAUUGAUAGUGCACUAGAAGUAAUAACUAGAAGUAAUAGGGUUAGGGUUACAAAGGCAAGGUGUAUCAGGUAGAAAAAGUUCAUGAUAGGUAAACAGGUCCUAGUACCCAUCCUUGGGGUUACAAUCACUAGGGGAUUUCAGCUGGAACAUCACACAUACACUAUAGGUAAACAGGUCCUAGUACCCAUCCUUGGGGUUACAGUGACUAGGGGAUAUCAGCUGGAACAUCACACAUACACUAUAGGUAAACAGGUCCUAGUACCCAUCCUUGGGGUUACAAUCACUAGGGGAUAUCAGCUGGAACAUCACACAUACACUAUAGGUAAACAGGUCCUAGUACCCAUCCUUGGGGUUACAGUGACUAGGGGAUUUCAGCUGGAACAUCACACAUACACUAUAGGUAAAUAGGUCCUAGUACCCAUCCUUGGGGUUACAGUGACUAGGGGAUAUCAGCUGGAACAUCACACAUACACUAUAGGUAAACAGGCCCCUAGUACCCAUCCUUGGGGUUACAAUGGCAAGGUGUAUCAGGUGGAAAAGCAAGCAUUCACAACAAAAACAGCCCCUAGUAGCCAUACUUUAAGUCUUCUUAGCUUCCCAAAAUCUUGGAACCUAAGAGUAGCCCCGGUCAAACAGAGAACAGAGAAGUAACUCUGCACUGUUAUGUUGCUUACCAUACUUUUCCCUUCUACUCUGUUGUACGGUUCCACACAUGUAGAACCUUUAGAGCUUCCCAGGAGGACGACCAAAGAA